GACGGUCUUGCUGUCACUUAUAGAUGGAUCCGCGCUGCAUUAGCUAGUUGGUAAGGUAACGGCUUACCAAGGCAACGAUGCAUAGCCGACCUGAGAGGGUGAUCGGCCACACUGGAACUGAGACACGGUCCAGACUCCUACGGGAGGCAGCAGUAGGGAAUCUUCCGCAAUGGGCGAAAGCCUGACGGAGCAACGCCGCGUGAGUGAUGAAGGUCUUCGGAU
rnacentral:rRNA from 1 species